CAGAGACGACAGGGGAGCGCAAGUGCGCUGAGAGUGCGGCCCGCCGCAGACCCUCGAACCUGAUCCGGUUAGUACCGGUGGAGGAAGUCGAGCAACUCCCUCG
rnacentral:ncRNA from 1 species